AUUUGGGAGUUGUCUGUUAUGUAGUGUAAUUCUUUGUGUUUUGGAUUCUUUGUAGGUUUGGCAAUUAGUUCGUGUUACUAUCGAUCGAGGAUUUUUAGCAGGAAUUACUUGGGUCUGAAAAGCUUCCUGGAAGUGGUGGUGUAGUGUUGGAGAUUAAAAUUAUGUAGUAGUGCAGCUUCAAUGAUGUCAUGUUACUUGAUUUUUAUUAAAUGCGUAUGCUUACAAC
rnacentral:lncRNA from 1 species